GGAAAACUCACCAGGUCCAGACAUAGGAAGGAUUGACAGAUUGAGAGCUCUUUCUUGAUUCUAUGGGUGGUGGUGCAUGGCCGUUCUUAGUUGGUGGAUUGAUUUGUCUGGUUGAUUCCGACAACGAACGAGACCUUCGCCGUUUAAUAGGAAGCUUUUCUUCGGAUAAGAUUUCUUCUUAACGGGACCUUGUGCGUCUAGCAUAAUGAAGUGAAGGCAAUAA
rnacentral:rRNA from 1 species